AUUGAACGCUGGCGGCAGGCCUAACACAUGCAAGUCGAGCGGAUGAGGGAAGCUUGCUUCCCGAUUUAGCGGCGGACGGGUGAGUAAUGCCUAGAAAUCUGCCUAUUAGUGGGGGAUAACGUUCCGAAAGGAACGCUAAUACCGCAUACGUCCUACGGGAGAAAGUGGGGGAUCUUCGGACCUCACGCUAAGAGAUGAGCCUAGGUCGGAUUAGCUAGUUGGUGAGGUAACGGCUCACCAAGGCGACGAUCCGUAGCUGGUCUGAGAGGAUGAUCAGCCACACUGGAACUGAGACACGGUCCAGACUCCUACGGGAGGCAGCAGUGGGGAAUAUUGGACAAUGGGCGAAAGCCUGAUCCAGCCAUGCCGCGUGUGUGAAGAAGGUCUUCGGAUUGUAAAGCACUUUAAGUUGGGAGGAAGAGUUGUAAGCUAAUAUCUUGCAGCUUUGACGUUACCAACAGAAUAAGCACCGGCUAACUCUGUGCCAGCCGCCGCGGUAACAC
rnacentral:rRNA from 1 species